CGUGUCGGAGCCCGCGUUCCAUUAGCUAGUUGGUGAGGUAACGGCCCACCAAGGCGACGAUGGGUAGCCGGUCUGAGAGGAUGACCGGCCACACUAGGACUGGAACACGGCCCAGACUCCUACGGGAGGCAGCAGUGGGGAAUAUUGCGCAAUGGGCGAAAGCCUGACGCAGCGACGCCGCGUGAGGGAUGAAGGUCCUCGGAUCGUAAACCUCUGUCAGGAGGGAAGAACGGCCACGGUGCUAAUCAGCCGUGGUCUGACGGUACCUCCAAAGGAAGCACCGGCUAACACCGUGCCAGCAGCCGCGGUAAUACGGAGGGUGCGAGCGUGUAUCGGAAUCACUGGGCGUAAAGCGCACGUAGGCUGCUUGGUAAGUCAGGGGUGAAAGCCCGCGGCUCAACCGCGGAAUUGCCUUUGAUACUGCCGAGCUAGAGUCCGGGAGAGCGUAGUGGAAUUCCAGGUGUAGGAGUGAAAUCCGUAGAGAUCUGGAGGAACAUCAGUGGCGAAGGCGACUACCUGGACCGGUACUGACGCUGAGGUGCGAAAGCGUGGGGAGCAAACAGGAUUAGAUACCCAGGUAGUCCACGCCGUAAACGAUGGACACUAGGUGCCGACCGUCAUCUAGGAUGCAUCAAAAAAGAAAA
rnacentral:rRNA from 1 species